rnacentral:rRNA from 1 species
UACAGAGGUCUCAAGCGUUGUUCGGAUUCAUUGGGCGUAAAGGGUGCGUAGGUGGCGUGGUAAGUCGGGUGUGAAAUUUCGGAGCUUAACUCCGAAACUGCAUUCGAUACUGCUGUGCUUGAGGACUGGAGAGGAGACUGGAAUUUACGGUGUAGCAGUGAAAUGCGUAGAGAUCGUAAGGAAGGCCAGUGGCGAAGGCGAGUUCCUGGACAGUUACUGACGCUGAGGCACGAAGGCCAGGGGAGCAAACGGG